rnacentral:piRNA from 1 species
UGCAAUGUGCUAUGAUUAAUGCAGUGAU